AUGAACGCUGGCGGCGUGACUAAUACAUGCAAGUCGAGCGAACGGACGAAAAGCUUGCUUCUCUGAUGUUAGCGGCGGACGGGUGAGUAACACGUGGAUAACCUACCUAUAAGACUGGGAUAACUUCGGGAAACCGGAGCUAAUACCGGAUAAUAUUUUGAACCGCAUGGUUCAAAAGUGAAAGACGGUCUUGCUGUCACUUAUAGAUGGAUCCGCGCUGCAUUAGCUAGUUGGUAAGGUAACGGCUUACCAAGGCAACGAUGCAUAGCCGACCUGAGAGGGUGAUCGGCCACACUGGAACUGAGACACGGUCCAGACUCCUACGGGAGGCAGCAGUAGGGAAUCUUCCGCAAUGGGCGAAAGCCUGACGGAGCAACGCCGCGUGAGUGAUGAAGGUCUUCGGAUCGUAAAACUCUGUUAUUAGGGAAGAACAUAUGUGUAAGUAACUGUGCACAUCUUGACGGUACCUAAUCAGAAAGCCACGGCUAACUACGUG
rnacentral:rRNA from 1 species